AUGCAAUGAACCCCUCCCCAUAAGUUACAGCUCCAGGCAUGCCUGCCAUAGACUUCUUCUGGCCCUUGUCAGAGCCACCCUCUCCCAGUACCCAUGAGGAACUGCGUGUGCCCGGGGGUGGCUGGCAGCAGUAGGCACCAUAUGGCUGCCAUGGAGGCGGUCUUUUGGGGAGAAGGGAAAUCUUGGAGACAGUCUACAGGCUGGAUGGAACUCCCAGCCCUGCAGAGGAAGCUCUUGUCUGGCACUUGCCUGUAGCUGUCUCAGUGGUCAUGGCUCCUACAAAGAGACCCCAUGUGGCCAAGAGGACAGUCUAUCACCCAGCCUUGGGGACUCAGUCUUUUGCUGGCAGCUGUGAGUUAGGGUGUGGUGGCCAUGUUGGGUCCAGAAGAUACUGCUUCCCCGUUCUCCAUCCAGUUCUUACAUUCUUGCCUCUUCUGUGCUGUUCUCAGAGCCUUAGAGAGAGUGACAUAGAUGUCUAAUUUAGGGCUGAGAGCUCACCAGUCACUUGCUCCCCACACUUGGAUCAGCUGUGAGUGUCGCCCUGACUGCCAGUUACCAGGAGCAGCGUGUUCUUUUAAGCAGCUUUAAAUAAUUUCCUUUUGACUUGCAGAUAUGAUUAGUUCCCUUCACAAAUCCUUCUUCUGAGAGAGGGGAGGUGUAUGGCCAAAGUUUACUUGUCUGAAUUAUUUCUUAUUCCGAAAGAGUAGGUUCCAAAUCAACGCUACUGACUGCUCUAUUCAGUCAGCUCAAGGACGGCCAGUAGGUGAACAAAAAUCAAUGGAGAGCAAGUCUCAGAAGUGUCAGAGAAGGGCAAACAUAUUUGACAAAAAAA
rnacentral:lncRNA from 1 species